rnacentral:rRNA from 1 species
CAGCAGUGGGGAAUAUUGGACAAUGGGCGAAAGCCUGAUCCAGCCAUGCCGCGUGUGUGAAGAAGGUCUUCGGAUUGUAAAGCACUUUAAGUUGGGAGGAAGGGCAGUUGCCUAAUACGUAACUGUUUUGACGUUACCGACAGAAUAAGCACCGGCUAACUCUGUGCCAGCAGCCGCGGUAAUACAGAGGGUGCAAGCGUUAAUCGGAAUUACUGGGCGUAAAGCGCGCGUAGGUGGUUUGUUAAGUUGGAUGUGAAAUCCCCGGGCUCAACCUGGGAACUGCAUUCAAAACUGACUGACUAGAGUAUGGUAGAGGGUGGUGGAAUUUCCUGUGUAGCGGUGAAAUGCGUAGAUAUAGGAAGGAACACCAGUGGCGAAGGCGACCACCUGACUAAUACUGACACUGAGUCGAAAGC